rnacentral:misc_RNA from 1 species
AACUUUUGGCAACGGAUCACUUGGCUCUCGCAUCGAUGAAGAACGCAGCGAAAUGCGAUACGUAAUGAGAAUUGCAGAAUUCAGUGAAUCAUCGAAUCUUUGAACGCACAUUGCACUCUCUGGUAUUCCGGAGAGUAUGCUUGUUUGAGUAUCUGUAAACAUCUCAAAUCUCUCGACUUUCUAGUUUGAGAGAAUUGGACUUGAGCAAUCCCAACUCCUUCGUCAGAAAGAGGAGGGUUGCUUGAAAUGCAGGUGCAGCUGGGCAUUCUUCUGAGCUAAAAGCAUAUUUAUUUAGUCCCGUCAAACGGAUUAUUAUUCUUGCUUCAGCUUACAUAAAGGUUGAAUGACUACCGAGGCUGAUUGCAGGUAAACUCGUUCCGUAAAAAAGAACUUGUGAACUCGAUCUCAAAUCAAGUAAGACUACCCGCUGAACUUAAGCAUAUCAAUAAGCGGAGGCU